GGAGAAGCCCCGGUGCGCCCGGUGCGGCGACGCCGGGUUCCUGCCGGACGGCUCCAUGUGCGCCUGCCUGCGCAGCUACUACGCCCGGGAGCAGAUCGCGGAGCUGUCCCACAUGCUGGACAUCGGCUCCCAGAGCUUCGACACCUUCCGCCUGGACUACUAUUCCACGGACCGGGGCGGCCUGCCCCGCUCCCCCCGGGAGGCGGCCCAGCGGAAUCUGGAGAUCUGCCAGUCCUUCGCCCGGGACUUCCGCCCCGGGAAGCAGAAUCUGCUGCUGUUCGGCGCGCCGGGCCUGGGCAAGACGUUUCUGUCCGCCUGCAUCGCCCGGGUGGUCAGCGAGGACGGCUUCUCCGUGGUGUACGACACGGCGGGGCAUAUUUUCUCCCAGUUCGAGGCCGCCAAGUUCCGCCGGGACGAGAAUCUGCCGGGACCAUCCGGUAAGGCUAAAUACUCCCGAGAGACCGAUAGCGAACCAGUACUGUGAAGGAAAGGUGAAAAGCACUUCGAAUAGAAGAGUGAAAUAGUCCCUGAAACCGUGCGCCUACAAGCGGUCGGAGCUGCUUCAGCAGUGACGGCGUGCCUUUUGCAUAAUGAACCUACGAGUUACUUUUUCCGGCAAGGUUAAGGAUCUUGAGAUCCGCAGCCGAAGCGAAAGCGAGUCUUAACAGGGCGAUUAGUCGGAAGGAGUAGACGCGAAACCAAGUGAUCUACCCUUGGUCAGGUUGAAGGUUAGGUAACACUAACUGGAGGACCGAACCGAUAAGCGUUGAAAAGCUUCCGGAUGAACUGAGGGUGGGGGUGAAAGGCUAAUCAAACUUGGAGAUAGCUCGUACUCCCCGAAAUGCAUUUAGGUGCAGCCUUGGGAAUUACUACUGUGAGGUAGAGCGACUGAUAAGAUGCGAGGGCUUCACCGCCUAUCAAGUCUUGAUAAACUCCGAAUGCGCAGUAGUUCGAUCCCAGGAGUGAGGGCAUGGGUGCUAAGGUCCAUGUCCUAAAGGAGAAGAAUCCAGACCAUCAGCUAAGGUCCCGAAAUAAUUGCUAAGUUGAACUAACGAAGUCAGAUUGCUAAGACAGCUAGGAUGUUGGCUUGGAAGCAGCCAUUCAUUUAAAGAGUGCGUAACAGCUCACUAGUCGAGGAGUUUGGCGUGGAUAAUAAUCGGGCAUAAGUAUUCUACCGAAGCUUUGGGAUGAGAAAUCAUCGGUAGGGGAGCAUUCCACUCGGCGUCGAAGGUGAAGCGCGAGCUUUGCUGGAGCGUGUGGAAAAGCAAAUGUAGGUAUAAGUAACGAUAAAGGGGGUGGGAAACCCCCUCGCCGAAAGACUAAGGUUUCCUGAUCAACGCUAAUCGGAUCAGGGUAAGUCGGGUCCUAAGGCUCAGCCGAACGGCGAGGCCGAUGGCAGAACCGGUUAAUAUUCCGGUACUACCUGUGGGAGUGACGUGGAGACGGAGUCGUGACAGCGCCGCGGACUGACGGAAUAGUCCGUUGAAGGGUGUAGAUGCUGAUUGUUCCAGGCAAAUCCGGAGCAAGAGUCGAACCUGACAGUAUGGAGCGUUCUUAGAACAAUCCAAUAGUGCGUGUAAUCAUACUUCCAAGAAAAUCCGCUAAACUUAAUCCUGCAGGUACCCGUACCGCAAACGGACACACGUAGUCGGGUUGAAUAUACUAAGGCGCUUGAGUGAUUCACGGUUAAGGAACUAGGCAAACUGACCCUGUAACUUCGGGAUAAAGGGUCCUCGCUUAACGGCGAGGCGCAGAGAAUAGGUCCAGGCAACUGUUUAACAAAAACACAGGGCUGUGCAAAAUUGAAAGAUGAAGUAUACAGCCUGACACCUGCCCGGUGCUGGAAGGUUAAGAGGAGAUGUCAUCGCAAGAGAAGCAUUGAAUUGAAGCCCCAGUAAACGGCGGCCGUAACUAUAACGGUCCUAAGGUAGCGAAAUUCCUUGUCGG
rnacentral:rRNA from 1 species